rnacentral:ncRNA from 1 species
CUUAUCAAGAGCGGUGGAGGGAACGGCCCUGUGAAACCCGGCAACCUGUGCUUUCAAAAGGCAAAAGGUGCCAAAUCCGGCGGUGAAACGAAAGAUGAG